CGGGUGAGAUAUUUUAGCCUUUAAUCACUCUCAUGAAAUUAAGAGAGGUGGUUACUUCUAAGUCUAUCCACUUAGGGUGGAUAGCUGCUGCACAUAUCAAGAGACUCAUUGAUCAAAAUAAUGAAGGCAGCUCACAUGCUGAAUAGGCCAUGCAGCAAAUAAAAUGUAGAUAGUUCGGUUCCGCAUAUUUCAACUCUGUACUU
rnacentral:lncRNA from 1 species